rnacentral:tRNA from 1 species
AGUGGUGUACAACCGUUUUGCCCCUCACUGGUCUGUCACGCCAGAAGUCGCGGGUUCGAACCCCGUUUUCCCCG